rnacentral:lncRNA from 1 species
AUAGCACCGAUUAAAAAGACUCGGAGCAUAGGGCGCUCUUGAGCAAGCUUUUCCACUCCCAACCCUGACCUGUGACAUUCCUGCUCUCCUAGUCACAAUCAGAGAUAGUGAUACAGAGCUUGUGUUCAGUCUCCCUGUUCCUUGAGACACAGCAAUAUCGAAAUCAGGCCAGUGAAUAGCCCUCCAAUGGCCUCUAAAUAUUCAAG